GACGAACGCUGGCGGCGUGCUUAACACAUGCAAGUCGAACGGAAAGGCCCUGCUUUUGUGGGGUUCUCGAGUGGCGAACGGGUGAGUAACACGUGAGUAACCUGCCCUUGUCUUUGGGUUAACUUCAGGAAACUGGGGCUAAUACCGGAUAGGAGCUCCUUCUGCAUGGUGUGCGUUGGAAAGUUUCGGCGGUUGGGGAUGGACUCGCGGCUUAUCAGCUUGUUGGUGGGGUAGUGGCUUACCAAGGCUUUGACGGGUAGCCGGCCUGUGAGGGUGACCGGCCACAUUGGGACUGAGAUACGGCCCAGACUCCUACGGGAGGCAGCAGGGGGGAAUAUUGCACAAUGGGCGGAAGCCUGAUGCAGCAACGCCGCGUGCGGGAUGACGGCCUUCGGGUUGUAAACCGCUUUCGCCUGUGACGAAGCGUGAGUGACGGUAAUGGGUAAAGAAGCACCGGCUAACUACGUG
rnacentral:rRNA from 1 species